UACAGAGGGUGCGAGCGUUCUCCGGAAUCACUGGGCGUAAAGGGCGCGUAGGCGGCUUGGUAAGUAGGGGGUGAAAUCUUGCGGCUCAACUGCAAGGCUGCCUCCUAAACUGUCAGGCUUGAGCACAGUAGAGGCAGGUGGAAUUCCCGGUGUAGCGGUGGAAUGCGUAGAGAUCGGGAAGAACAUCGGUGGCGAAGGCGGCCUGCUGGGCUGUUGCUGACGCUGAGGCGCGACAGCGUGGGGAGCAAACAGG
rnacentral:rRNA from 1 species